rnacentral:rRNA from 1 species
UGGGGAAUCAUAGACAAUGGGCGAAAGCCUGAUCUUGCCAUGCCGCGUGGACGACGAAGGCCCUAGGGUUGUAAAGUCCUUUCACCGGUGAAGAUAAUGACGGUAGCCGGAGAAGAAGCCCCGGCUAACUCCGUGCCAGCAGCCGCGGUAAUACGGAGGGGGCUAGCGUUGUUCGGAAUUACUGGGCGUAAAGCGCGCGUAGGCGGGCUGUUAAGUCGGGGGUGAAAUCCCGGGGCUCAACCCCGGAACUGCCUUCGAUACUGGCAGCCUAGAGGACGGUAGAGGCUAGUGGAAUGGCGAGUGUAGAGGUGAAAUUCGUAGAUAUUCGCCGGAACACCAGUGGCGAAGGCGACUGGCUGGACCGUAUCUGACGCUGAGGUGCGAAAGCGUGGGGAGCAAACAGGAUUAGAUACCCCCGUAGUCC